GCCGAUAUAAUUAAAUGGUAUAAUGUCUGUUUUGUAAUCAGGUUUUCGGGGUUCGAUUCCUCGUAUCGGCACCA
rnacentral:tRNA from 1 species